UACAGAGGUCCCAAGCGUUGUUCGGAUUCAUUGGGCGUAAAGGGUGCGUAGGCGGUGGGGUAAGUUGGAUGUGAAAUCUUGGGGCUUAACCUCAAAAUUGCAUUCAAUACUGCUCUGCUCGAGUUCUGUAGAGGAGAUUGGAAUUUACGGUGUAGCAGUGAAAUGCGUAGAUAUCGUAAGGAACGCCAGUGGCGAAAGCGAAUCUCUGGGCAGCAACUGACGCUGAGGCACGAAGGCCAGGGGAGCAAACGGG
rnacentral:rRNA from 1 species